UCACUCCUACGGGAGGCAGCAGUGGGGGAAUAUUGCACAAUGGGGGAAACCCUGAUGCAGCCAUGCCGCGUGUGUGAAGAAGGCCUUCGGGUUGUAAAGCACUUUCAGUAGGGAGGAAGGUAGUGUAGUUAACACCUGCAUUAUUUGACGUUACCUACAGAAGAAGCACCGGCUAACUCCGUGCCAGCAGCCGCGGUAAUACGGAGGGUGCGAGCGUUAAUCGGAAUUACUGGGCGUAAAGCGCAUGCAGGCGGCCUGUUAAGUCAGAUGUGAAAGCCCCGGGGCUUAACCUCGGAAUUGCAUUUGAAACUGGCAGGCUAGAGUCUUGUAGAGGGGGUAGAAUUUCAGGUGUAGCGGUGAAAUGCGUAGAGAUCUGAAGGAAUACCAGUGGCGAAGGCGGCCCCCUGGACAAAGACUGACGCUCAGAUGCGAAAGCGUGGGGAGCAAACAGGAUUAGAUACCCCUGGUAG
rnacentral:rRNA from 1 species